AGAAUUGCCUACUGUUUAAUUUUGAAAGUUCUUUACGAACUUUAUAUAUGGGGGUGUAGCUCAGUUGGGAGAGCACUUGCCUUGCAAGCAAGGGGUCAGGAGUUCGACUCUCCUCAUCUCCACCAUUUAAGAGUAUAUUACUUAAAUCUUUGAUUUACUUAGUAGCCUCUUACAAUGCACUUAUAGCUUAAAUUUAUACAAGCUUUGUGUGUUAGCACUUUAAGCAACAGAAUAAACUGAACGCAUGUGAAGUUUGUUUGUUGGCGCUGUGCGUUAGCACUUUNGAAUUGACGGGGACCCGCACAAGUAGCGGAGCAUGUGGUUUAAUUCGAAGCAACGCGAAGAACCUUACCUAAGCUUGACAUCCCAAUGACAUCUCCUUAAUCGGAGAGUUCCCUUCGGGGACAUUGGUGACAGGUGGUGCAUGGUUGUCGUCAGCUCGUGUCGUGAGAUGUUGGGUUAAGUCCCGCAACGAGCGCAACCCUUGUCUUUAGUUGCCAUCAUUAAGUUGGGCACUCUAGAGAGACUGCCAGGGAUAACCUGGAGGAAGGUGGGGAUGACGUCAAAUCAUCAUGCCCCUUAUGCUUAGGGCUACACACGUGCUACAAUGGGUAGUACAGAGGGUUGCCAAGCCGUAAGGUGGAGCUAAUCCCUUAAAGCUACUCUCAGUUCGGAUUGUAGGCUGAAACUCGCCUACAUGAAGCUGGAGUUACUAGUAAUCGCAGAUCAGAAUGCUGCGGUGAAUGCGUUCCCGGGUCUUGUACACACCGCCCGUCACACCACGGGAGUUGGAGACGCCCGAAGCCGAUUAUCUAACCUUUUGGAAGAAGUCGUCGAAGGUGGAAUCAAUAACUGGGGUGAAGUCGUAACAAGGUAGCCGUAUCGGAAGGUGCGGCUG
rnacentral:rRNA from 1 species